CUUCAUCGUCGUUUAACCGGAAUUUCAAUGUCCACUCCAUCUCUUCUUUACUGUUUUCUCUUUCUCUACAGACUUUAAAUCUGUCGCUGAAGCUUUGCUGAAGAUUUCUGUUUCUCUCCUACGAGCUGCGCAGCCUAUAAAUUCCUCUCUGAACGUUUCUUCAACAUUUCGCUUUCUGUCGGAUGACCUGCUCAGGAAAUUCUCUCCAACUCAAACAUACAAAUACCACUGAUACAGAACACCCUGCACAGUCUGCAGCAGCCUCUUCGUUAUCCCAACCUUAGAGGGAUUCUUUCAACUGUUGACGCACACUGUAUAUAGGAGCUACCCAGUCGACAACAUUCCCAGGCAUCCCUCACUUGCUCACAGGAGAUUGCCCACAGCUAAAACAUAGAAAUAACGCUGAUACAGAACAGUGUGCAGGCUGUGCAUCUGACUCUUCAUUAUGACCACCUUAGAGGGAUUGCUUCCACUCCUCACGCAAACCGUAUAUACCGGCUAGCCAGUCCACAAGAUUGACACACAUCCCACACGUUCUCACAGCAUCAUCUUCAUUACCGUCACCUUAGAGCGAUUGCUUCAACUGCCAACACAAAUCGUAUAUACAGCCUACCGACUCCACAAGAUUCACAGACAUCCCACCCGUCAUCACAGCUACAACAUUCCAAGUACAGUGACAAUUGUUAUGUCACCCAGUUGUAUUAGUCACUCCAGUACGAAAGUCUCUCAUAAUGGUACUACGACUAAAUAAUCGUACUUUAUUUGUGCUGCUAAUUUACUGCUUCUCUUACUGAUUUUGUUUCCACUGUUUGCCCAUCACUUUUCAUUCAACUCUUUUAAUUAAUGUUUCAACUUUUUGCACUUUUCUUUUUUCCACGAUAGUCCAAACUGUUAAUAGCUAUUCAAAAUCAUGAAUUGCUAGCCAUACCACUGUAGGGAAAUAGUUGCUUCUAGGCUUAUCCUUACUUUCUUUCAUCAGCUUAUCUUUUCUUUUUCCACAAUUAAAUGUGCUUACAAUAUAAAUGGCAUUUACAUAUUACACUCACAUAGGACGCAAAAAACUACAUAAGAAAAAGAAACACUAUAAUACAAAAUACAACUUUCAUCCUUUACUUUAGUUUUGUUUCCGAAUGUCAAUUCAAAGGAGAAAGCAUUGUUUAGUUGUUGUUUCUUUUGUUACUUCCUAUGUCCUGCAUUCCUACACAAGGACAGAAAAUUUCUACAAACUUGCCAACUUUUGUACUAUCUUCAAAUCCAAACUAACAAAAUUUAUUGUCUUUUCCCACAUAUUUUCUACAACGUAUUCCUUUGUGUGUGAAUCAUACAAAAGG